rnacentral:lncRNA from 1 species
AUUGAACUCCCGGGCACUAGACCACUGAGCAACAUCCCCAGCCCUAUUUGGUAUUUUAUUUAGAGACAGGGUAUCACUAGUGUCUCCCUUUUGCUGAGGCUGGCUUUGAACUCAUGAUCCUCCUGCCUCAGCUACCUGAGCUGCUGGGAUUACAGGCCUGUGCCACUGAGCCCACCUCUCAUCCUUCAUCUUUGAGAGUCAUGACUCAGGUUUUCAUGCUGCAGUCUCUGAGAAAACCUGCAGCAAACCCCUAAUAGUAGUUUGAUCAGCACAAUGUCCUUCACACUAGUUGAACACAUAACAUUUAUUCCACCUAAAAACCUAAUAGCCAAAGAACUAGUGUCCUAGCAGAGUAUAUUAUAUAUUAAGUAUAUAUAAGUAUAUAUUAAGACCUUAAAAGAAGCAGCAAAUGACUACAAAUGAAACAAAAGGAGAUCCUUUAGGGUUCGUGUCUAUCAAAGGAAGAAAGCAAAAUUUCAGUUCCAUGUAAAAUGAAUUCUGGUCAUUGUUUUUUAUUGAUCAAGCUUAUGAACCUGUUACAAAAAAUAAAAUGUUGCAGCACAUUUUUUAUACUUUUCCAGAUAAGGAAACAGAGACCCAGGGAGAUGAUUUCCCAUCCUUGUGCCCUGCCAGUUCCCUCCUUCAGAAAUGCAUUUCCUACUCCAGAGAUCUAGAAACUUGUCAUGAUGCAGUUCAAACACCACCUCCCACCAUUAUUGCCGUUUCUCCCUCCUGUCCCUCUUCUGAAGUCUCAAAGUAGUGUAUUACUUGACCCUUGGUGUAACUGUCCCUUGAGUUCUUCAAUCACAUUAGAUUUGCUUUGAGACAGAAGCUGCUUCUUACUUACCUUUCCAUUUCCUGCUCUACUUGCCACAAGUGGAUGCAUAGUAUAUUGUAGAGAGCAAUAAACAGUCGGUUACUGCCUUGUUGCAUGAAAAAAAAAAAUCAUCAAAGAGUAGGGGAAGGAAUGCAUGCCCUAUAACUAUGAAAAAGAUGUUCUGAUACAUCUGUGUUCUGACACUGUUGUCUUGAGACAAGUGGUCAUCUGGUAAAUGACUACCACCCCAUAAAGAGACACACCAAAGAGCUCCUCUCCCUCCUCAAUGUGUCCAGUCUGUUUCUCUUCAAAAAUUAUCUUUGCUCUAUGUGAAUCUAUUUGAAUCAAUAUUUCCCUUCUUCUACCCCCAGAGAGGUUCAGUUAAUAAAACAAAUUUAUCCUAUUGUGCAUACAUAGCUAGGGAGAAACAAAAAGAAAGGAGAAUAUGGAAUAUGAGAGAAAGAGACUAGAGAUGGUACUGAACAGCCCAGAGGACAGCAUCCAAAGGGCGACUAACAGAGUUAGAGAUGGGGAUGAGCAGCUUGGCUCCAGGAUUAAAAGAAGCAAAGUGAAACUGCUAGCACUGAAAUUCCAGAGCUUUCCCCAGCAUCGUUCCCUGGAAAAUAAAUUGGGUGAAAAUUAAUAUUUUCUAACAGUUCAGAGUUUAUGCCACAUCAAGAGAAAGGGGCUACGAUGUUCCCAGUGUGAUUUGCAUCUUAUUGCUGGUUGUACAUCCCUCCCAGGAUGUACAGCGUUUGAGAUUGUUGACAACCUAAUAACUGGAUAUGAAGAUAAGUCCAAGGUAGGGCUAGACAUGGGAUGCUAAUAACCACAUUCACGGCAAUCUCUCCCUUUAAAAGUCAUGAAGUAUUUUCACUUAAUGUAUCUGGGGAUUCUUCAACAUAGCUACAUACUGUGGGGUUAUUAGUCCUCAUUCUGGAGAUGAAGAAACUGAGGACGACAAAAAAAUAAAAAAGAUAUUUCAAAGUACUGCAAUCAGGAAGCCUAACAGUAUGAAACCACUGCCCUGUCAGCCCCCAUCUCCUCCUCUUGCAGUCGACUUGUCGUCUUCCCUGGGGAGUGUUGUGGAGGAACAGUCAGAGUGCUCGCUGUGCUAGAGCACAAGGAACCUCAUCAUUGCUCUCUUCAAAGCCUCCUUAAGCUCCCUGCUCCUCAUGCUGUAGAUCAAGGGGUUCAGCACAGGGGUGACAAAUGUGUAAACCACAGACACCACCUGGCCCCUGUCUGGAGAGUACCUGGAGCUGGGGCACAGGUAGAUGACACUUGUGCACCCAUACUGCAGGAGGACCACAGUCAGGUGGGAGGAGCAGGUGGAGAAGGCCUUGUGCCUCCCCUCUGCACAGCGCAUCUUCAGGAUGGCAGCCACAAUGAAGACAUAGGACAGGGUGAUGAGCAGGGAGGGGAUGGUGAGCACAAUGACACUGACCGCAAACAGGGUGACCUCGUGGACGUGGGUGUCGGCACAGGCCAGCCUCAUGACAGGGAGGACGUCGCAGUAGAACAGGCUGAUCUCCUUGCUGCUGCAGAAGGGCAGCCGGAAGAUGAGCACAGUCAGCUGCAGGGCCAAGGCGAACCCCAGCACGAGGGACCCCACGGCCAGCUGCACACACACGCGCCAGCUCAUGAUGAGGGUGUAGCGCACAGGGUGACAGAUGGCCACAAACCGGUCAUAGGCCAUGACGGCCAGCAGAAUGCAGUCCGCGCUGCCCAGGAAGAUGAAGAAGAACAUCUGGGUGCCGCAGCCUGGCAGGGAGAUGAGGGUGCUCUCUGUGGACAGGACGCUGGCCAGGGUCAGAGGGGCGAUGGUGGAGGAGUAGAAGACCUCCAGAGCUGCCAGGUUUGCCAGGAAGAAGUACAUGGGGGUGUGGAGACAGCGGUUCAUCCAGAUGGUGAGGAAAAUGGAGAGGUUGCCAGUGAUGCUGACCAGGUACAUCCCGAGAAAGGUCACGAAAAUCAGCACCUGCACCUCGGGGAGUCGGGAGAAGGGGCGGAAGUGGAAGUGGAUCAUCCCAGUUUGGUUUGCUUCCUCCAUGUGUCCUCUGCAUUGGGCCUGCUGAUAGCCCAGGCGCUGCCCCUGAGGACAGAUCAAUGUCAGGACAGAAGCUACUGCUGCAUGAUUCACCCAAAUCUCGGCCUCACCAUCCUGGAUCACAGGUCUGACUGUCUUUACAACCAAUCUGAAAUUAGUAACUCUCCUAUAAAGCUGUUCUGUUGUCAUCACCCAGAAGUACUUGACUCCUGAACUAUGUCUGGAUGAUUCACCUUUGUAUCG